GCCAGUGUGGCCUAGUGGUUUGUGUGUUGGACUGCAACUCUGGAGACCAGAGUUCAAUUUCCUCCUCGGCCA